rnacentral:lncRNA from 1 species
AGAGAGAGAGAGAGAGAGGCAGAGACAUAGGCAGAGGGAGGAGCAGGCUCCAUGCACCGGGAGCCCAACAUGGGAUUCGAUCCCGGGUCUCCAGGAGCGCGCCCUGGGCCAAAGGCAGGCGCCAAACCCCUGCGCCACCCAGGGAUCCCGGCCCUGAUUAUUUAAUAAUCACAUUUACUAAGGUACAAUAUAGCAAAAAAAUUAUCCAAAUAAUUAGUCAGCAGCUUGAUAAAUUUUCAUAAAGCAAUUUCACCCAUAACCACCACCAAGGUCCAGAAAUCAGAAAACCACUAGCAUCAAGCUCUUUCUUAGUCACUAAGCCCCAGUUUGUAAAAGUAAAUAGGAAACUACUCUCCUGAGUUCUAAGCUAUAAAUUGUUUUGCAUUCUUUUGAACUUUAUAUAAAAGGAAUAAUAUAGAAUUUUAUUAUUUAGUAGCUGGUUUGUUUUACUCAACUCAUAUUUGUGAAACUCAUUCAUGCUCUUGUCAUUUUAAUUCAUUCAUUUUAAUAGCUAUAUAAUAUUACUUUGUAUGAAUAUAACCACAUUUUGUUUUAUGUUUUUGUUAUAUGUUAGGGCCAUUUCCAGUUUUUUAUUAUUAUAAUUUUAUAAUGAAUAUUCUCACAUGUCAUUGGUGUACAUUUCCUUCAGUAUAUACAUUUAUGCAUUUCUGUUAAUAUAUACAUAGAAGUGAAAUUGCUGGGCCAAAAGAUAUCUGUGUGUACUGCUUUAACAGGUACUUUCAAAUAGUUUUUUAAAGUGGUGGAAUGGAAGAUGUAUUGUCUCUAUACUUGUCACUUUUAUAUGUAAAUCCAAGAUGCUGCUUGGCCAACCUGAUUGAGUACUUGAAUAUGCUAUUUCUAUUUGACAAGUUGGCUUACUGAGGACUUCUAAACUUGUUAAUCAUUGUCCGAGUCACAAGGACUUUAUGAAUCAGUCGCUUUCUUUCCAAAAGAGCAAGCUAAUAGAUUCUUUUCAAAAGGGGUGUAUUUGAGCAUUGUGAAUAGAUCCACAUAGUCUCAAGAAGGUUUUGUUGUUGUUGUUAAAGAUUUUAUUUAUUUAUUCAUGAGAGACACAGAGACACAGACAGAGGAAGAAGCAGGUUCCAUGCAGGGAGCCCAACGUGGGACUUGAUCUCAGGUCUUCAGGAUCACACCCUGGACUGAAAGUGGCGCUAAACCACUGAGCCACCCAGAAGCUUGACACGAAGAGCAGGGUUUGAAUUUUAUCAGAGUUGUGAGUCACCUUACUGGCAGAGGUGUGAUUACACCAUGCAACCAUUGAGACCCAGACUUCUGACUUGCUAAGCAACAAGGUAUCAUUUAUGCAGUAAAGGCUUUGGACAUCAGGGAGUAGAGACAGUUACGCUGAAACCUAACUCAUUCACUGGUGGCAAGUCACAGCACAGUUUAGGCACCUGUGGGGAUAUACUAAAAGUUACUCGAGGUCUUCCCUUCUGAUCAAAAGACUCUCUUCUGGACUUUAUGACCAUUCAAAAUACAUGCAUAUAAAAUAUUAGUAUCAAUUAUACUUUCAACAAUAAAAGCCACAAUAGUACAUUUAAUUGGCCCAAAGGGUCCCACUCACAAAAUCAUGUUAACUUCCUUUCCCUACUCUGAACCUUAUCCAAACCUCAUAAGCUAAAUCCAGGCAAUGGGUAUGUUGGUGAAUUGGGCAUCUGUGCCCAACAGAACCAUACAAAUUUGAAUGUCUCCCCUCCCAGAUGUUCCCUAGUGUACUCAAAUAGAUGCAUACUGUCUUCAGUACUCCUGGGGGCAAGAGGAGAUCUUGGCUGCAUGCCUAAUCAUCUCUUUCCUUAAAGUAGCUGAGGAAGAGGGGAAUAAAUGAAUCAAGAGGACUGGACAGAGAGAGGCUCCACACCAGUAAGCAAAGCAUAUCCACUUUCCAUUUUGAGCAGUGCAGAAGCUACUCUCAGCUCAACCAAUGGAACUCCCACUGUUUUCAGCCUACCCACUACUUUACAGAAUGGUGAAGUUCUCAUAUCUGAUGCCCUGUGUUUCAUCCUUGGGAACUCUUGACUCAACCAGCUAUAGCCUCAGUGACUUCCAGCUGGGGCCAUGCAGUCUAUGCCCCCUGGCCAGCCUGGCCCUAGCUCACACAGUGGUGACAGCUUCUUUGAGGAGUCCAUAUUAGUCUGAGGCAUCAUUUCUUGUUACUAAAAUAACAUCUCCUAAGUUCUCAUUUGAUUUCCAUGUAAGAGCUAGGGAUAUUUUCCAGUGAGGCAGGCCUGAAAGUGAGCAUUUAUCUAAAUUUCUUUGGGUCAGUUUCUCAUUCUGCAGUGGGUCACUUCCAUCAUUAUUAUAAACCCAAUUCAGUGCAGUGAGACCCUAAGUACUAGUUAAUGACUCAUUUAUGUUUUCCCGGGGGAGUCUGUCCCUUUUUUGGGAAAAUUCUCCUAAAGCAGCCAGAACCCACUGCAAAAAAACUGAAUCUUUUACUGUCAUAUCCAAACAGUUCCACAGUUGACAUGAUGGACUGUAGGAGGGACUGAGCCAUAAGAUGAUCCAGCUACUCCCAUUCUUCCUUAACAAAGCAUUAUUAUGCAGGGUGCCUGGGUAGCUCAGUCGGUUAAGUGUCUGACUCUUGGCUUCACCUCAGGUUGUGAUCUUGGAGUCGUGAUCUCAGGGCUGUGGAAUAGAGCCCUGGGUGGGGCUCCACACUCAGUGUAGAGUUUGCUUGUCUCACUCCCUCCCGUUCUGCUCCUCCCCCUCUGCGCUCCCCCCUACCGUAUCUCUCCCCCCUCUCCCCAUGCCUGCAUGAGUUCACAUGCUCCCUCCUCUCUCUCAUAAAUAGAUAGAUAGAUAGAUAGAUAGAUAGAUAGAUAGAUAGAUAGAUAGAUCCCUUUAAAAAAACAGAAACAAAGCAUUAUGUAUCCUGCCCCAUUCAUCUCUCAAGUGAACCAGCCAAAGAUGUAUAGACUCUCUCUGUACAUAGUGAUCACAAAUCUCCCUCCUUUCAGCCUCCUGUCCCCAGGAAAAAUCUUAGCAUUAGUCAUUACAAUAGAACAAACUUGAAGCUGACCACUAGAUGGGCAAAGAAGUCCCCCCACUAGAGGGAAGUCACGUCAUCCAAGGUCCAGUCCACGCAACUGUUUUUAAAUCUGUUCCCUAGUACUUGCCCUACAAUGCCUCUCCAAUUCCUUCUCAUUAACAGGCAACAAAGUGGAGGAAAAUUUAUUGCCUGGUUGAACAUAUAUUGUGGUCAAUAUGUUUGCUAAAAGUGUCAAAACUGUGGAGGGUCAAAUAUUUUAUCCUACUUGCAGACUAACAAGUCCUGUCACUGUCCCAUGGGUACUGUCCUACCAGAAGGGGUAGCCAGAGUACCAUAACAUUUGGACCAAUUUCUAAGCCCCAAUUCCCACAGGGUGACAUGACAUGGGCCAGAUGGACCGUCAUUACAGUGCUUGGCACUGCAAAAGAGGGACCCUAAACUUACUCAACAGUAAGUUUGUCUUUUGCUCCAGAGAAAGACAUUACCUUUAUUAUACUGGACAGUAAGCAUGCCUGCACUUUACUCCAAAGAGUGACACUAUCUUUCUGUCUACCAAGGCUAUUCACUAUUCAAACAUUCCUGAAAAAAUAGUCCAGAACAAAGGACAAUCGUCUCCUCAUAAGACAUGCAAGAACUCCAUGGAAAAAUGUCUCUCAACAAGUAUAAUUUACAUAAGGUUCACCCUUUUGAGCUGUACAUUCCCAUGAGUUUUGAAAAUCAGUCAUAUAAUCACUACUAUAGCAAUAUAGAAUUUUUUUAAUCAACUCCCAAAGUCCCAUGUAAUCCUUAAACCACUGAUUAGACUUUAGUCUCUAUAAUUUUGCCUUUUCCAAAGUGUUAUAUAAAUGAACUGAUCAAAAACAUUCCCAUUUGUGUCUGGCUUCUUUGACUUAGCACAAUGCUUUUGACAUUAAUCCAUGGCGUUACAUGUAUUGACAAUUCAUUUAUUUUUAUUGUUGAAUAGUAUUCCAUUGUAUGUAUAUACGAUUUCCUUAUCCAUUCACCAGUUGAUGGGUAUUUGGAUUAUUUAUGAGUUUUUUGGUGUUACAAAUAAACAUACUGUAAACAUCCAUGUACAGGUCUUUGUAGGAACAUAUGUUUUUAUGUCUUCUGAGUAGUUUGGAGUAGAUUCUUGGGAGUAAGUUCAUGUUUAACUUUACAAAAACAAAAACAAAAAACGAAACAAAACCUGACCAUUGUUUUUCCUAAGUGAUUGUACCAUUUUUCAUUCCUAGUAGCAGGGGAUUAAAAUGUCACUUCCUAUCCUCACACUUGAUAUGAUAUGGACUUGUUUUUGUUUUUAAUUCUGGUCAUUGUAAUAGGUGUCCAGUGAUAUCCCAUCAGUUUUCAUUGCAUUUCUCUGAUGGUUAAUAAUGUCAAGCAUCUUUUCAUGUGCUUACUUAUCAUUUCAAAUGUCUCAUUUGAUGAAUUAUCUAUGCAAGUCAUAGCUUUUUUUUAAAAGAUUUUAUUUAUUUAUUCAUGAGAGAUACACAGAGAGAGAGUCAGAGAUGCAGGCAGAGGGAGAAGCAGGCUCCAUGCAGAGAGCCCAAGGCGGGACUCAAUCCUGGGUCUCCAGGAUCACACCCUGGGCUGACGGUGGCGCUAAACCACUGAGCCACCGGGGCUGCCCAAGUCAUAGCUUUUAAAUGAGUUGUUUUUUUCUUAUUGAGUUUUUUGAGAAUUCUUUACAUAUUCUAGGUACACUUAUUUUUUUAUUUUUUAUUUUUUUUUAAAUUUUUUUAUUUAUUUAUGAUAGUCACAGAGAGAGAGGGGGGGGGGGCAGAGACACAGGCAGAGGGAGAAGCAGGCUCCAUGCACCGGGAGCCCGACGUGGGAUUCGAUCCAGGGUCUCCAGGAUCGUGCCCUGGGCCAAAGGCAGGUGCCAAACCACUGCGCCACCCAGGGAUCCCUAGGUACACUUAUUUUUUAAAUCACUUUUUAUCCCAGACAUUUUCUUCCACUUCAUGGCUUAUCUUUUUAUUUUCUUAACAUUCAAGGAGCCUAAGUUUUAAAUUUUAAUUAAAUUCAAUUUAUCUUCUUUUAAAUUUUAUGGUUUGUGCUUUCAUGUCCUAAUAAAUUCUCUCCUAACUAGAAGUAAACCUAGGGGGUUCAGUCAGUUGAGUGCCUGACUUUUGAUUUUGGCUCAGAUCAUGAUCUCAGUGUCAUAAGAUGGAGCCCUCAGUGGGGAGUCUGCUUGAGUUUUUCUCCCUCUACCCUUCCCCCUGCUCUCUCUCUCUAAAAAUAAAUAAA